CUUUUUUUCUGAAAGAAAUUGGUCCUCGGAAAUGACCUUUCACAAGACUUCAUAAAUCGGGCACCAGUCCCAAAUUGUUCUAUGAUACAAAACAUGUUGGCACGAUUUCAUUGAAGUAAUUUUGACCCAAUAAUUCACAAUUUCAAGCGUCAUUCAAACGUGAUUUGCAUGUGAAGAUUUGUUGAAAGAAGAUGGAACAAUGAUGAAACAGAAGAGCUUGCUGAUUUGCUCGAUUACCACUUUUUGUUGGAUGCGUUUGAAAUAAGAAUAUAUUCGUUAAAUCCAGAGUAUGAAUACUUGUAAUAGUCUAAUUUUUAAAGUAUUUUUAUAUAAUUCAGAUUGACUUUCGUGGUGAAAAAUCUCACAAUUAGGGAAUGGUCUAGGCUGAAAUGUCUGUGUAAAUGGUUAGCUUUUUCGUUUAACAUAUAUAUAGCUAUAUAACUGUACAAUUUUUUUCAUUUGCAAUCAUUUGCUAGUCUAACAACAACAACAACAAUAAUGAUAAA